rnacentral:tRNA from 1 species
GCACGAGUAGCCCAAAGGAAGAGGCACAGCACUAAGGAUGCUGACAGUGUGGGUUCGAAUCCCACCUUGUGUA